GGGCUCACUUUGGCAGCACAUACACUAAAAAUUGGGAUGAUAUAGAGAAAAUUAACAUGACCCCUGCCCAAAGAUGACAUGCAAGUUUGAAGCAUUCCAUAUUCUC
ensembl:snRNA U6 U6 spliceosomal RNA